AAUAGGACCCCUGCACCUCGAGCUUACGGGCAACGUUUGCAGGGAGAGCUUCUGUACCAAAGCGGAAGAAACCCCUAAGCGAGGAGGUUGCCGAGUGGCAAAUUCGUUUCUUCAAAUCUCAGGUGGCAUUGUCAGAGAAGAAGCAAAAGCUGGUUGAGACACAGCAACGGGU